rnacentral:ncRNA from 2 species
CGGUGAGGUAGAGGCGCAGACAUCAUGAGUAGUCAAUGGGAGUAUGACAAGCGAGGAUCAUUGGUGAAGGGGGUGUCUGCCGAAGUGUAAGACAGCGAGUCGGGCUGUUUAACGCUGGUGUACAUCUGAACAGGAGAUACACUGUCAUGCAUGCUUUUUGGGUGCAUGGAGCGCUACUGAUCGA